rnacentral:rRNA from 1 species
UUAAGUUAUUAAGGGCGCACGGUGGAUGCCUUGGCACUAGAAGCCGAUGAAGGACGUUACUAACGACGAUAUGCUUUGGGGAGCUGUAAGUAAGCUUUGAUCCAGAGAUUUCCGAAUGGGGAAACCCAGCAUGAGUUAUGUCAUGUUAUCGAUAUGUGAAUACAUAGCAUAUCAGAAGGCACACCCGGAGAACUGAAACAUCUUAGUACCCGGAGGAAGAGAAAGAAAAUUCGAUUCCCUUAGUAGCGGCGAGCGAAACGGGAAGAGCCCAAACCAACAAGCUUGCUUGUUGGGGUUGUAGGACACUCUAUACGGAGUUACAAAGGACGACAUUAGACGAAUCAUCUGGAAAGAUGAAUCAAAGAAGGUAAUAAUCCUGUAGUCGAAAAUGUUGUCUCUCUUGAGUGGAUCCUGAGUACGACGGAGCACGUGAAAUUCCGUCGGAAUCUGGGAGGACCAUCUCCUAAGGCUAAAUACUCUCUAGUGACCGAUAGUGAACCAGUACCGUGAGGGAAAGGUGAAAAGCACCCCGGAAGGGGAGUGAAAUAGAACCUGAAACCGUGUGCUUACAAGUAGUCAGAGCCCGUUAAUGGGUGAUGGCGUGCCUUUUGUAGAAUGAACCGGCGAGUUACGAUUUGAUGCAAGGUUAAGCAGUAAAUGUGGAGCCGUAGCGAAAGCGAGUCUGAAUAGGGCGUUUAGUAUUUGGUCGUAGACCCGAAACCAGGUGAUCUACCCUUGGUCAGGUUGAAGUUCAGGUAACACUGAAUGGAGGACCGAACCGACUUACGUUGAAAAGUGAGCGGAUGAACUGAGGGUAGCGGAGAAAUUCCAAUCGAACCUGGAGAUAGCUGGUUCUCUCCGAAAUAGCUUUAGGGCUAGCCUCAAGUGAUGAUUAUUGGAGGUAGAGCACUGUUUGGACGAGGGGCCCCUCUCGGGUUACCGAAUUCAGACAAACUCCGAAUGCCAAUUAAUUUAACUUGGGAGUCAGAACAUGGGUGAUAAGGUCCGUGUUCGAAAGGGAAACAGCCCAGACCACCAGCUAAGGUCCCAAAAUAUAUGUUAAGUGGAAAAGGAUGUGGCGUUGCCCAGACAACUAGGAUGUUGGCUUAGAAGCAGCCAUCAUUUAAAGAGUGCGUAAUAGCUCACUAGUCGAGUGACACUGCGCCGAAAAUGUACCGGGGCUAAACAUAUUACCGAAGCUGUGGAUUGUCCUUUGGACAAUGGUAGGAGAGCGUUCUAAGGGCGUUGAAGCAUGAUCGUAAGGACAUGUGGAGCGCUUAGAAGUGAGAAUGCCGGUGUGAGUAGCGAAAGACGGGUGAGAAUCCCGUCCACCGAUUGACUAAGGUUUCCAGAGGAAGGCUCGUCCGCUCUGGGUUAGUCGGGUCCUAAGCUGAGGCCGACAGGCGUAGGCGAUGGAUAACAGGUUGAUAUUCCUGUACCACCUAUAAUCGUUUUAAUCGAUGGGGGGACGCAGUAGGAUAGGCGAAGCGUGCGAUUGGAUUGCACGUCUAAGCAGUAAGGCUGAGUAUUAGGCAAAUCCGGUACUCGUUAAGGCUGAGCUGUGAUGGGGAGAAGACAUUGUGUCUUCGAGUCGUUGAUUUCACACUGCCGAGAAAAGCCUCUAGAUAGAAAAUAGGUGCCCGUACCGCAAACCGACACAGGUAGUCAAGAUGAGAAUUCUAAGGUGAGCGAGCGAACUCUCGUUAAGGAACUCGGCAAAAUGACCCCGUAACUUCGGGAGAAGGGGUGCUCUUUAGGGUUAACGCCCAGAAGAGCCGCAGUGAAUAGGCCCAAGCGACUGUUUAUCAAAAACACAGGUCUCUGCUAAACCGUAAGGUGAUGUAUAGGGGCUGACGCCUGCCCGGUGCUGGAAGGUUAAGAGGAGUGGUUAGCUUCUGCGAAGCUACGAAUCGAAGCCCCAGUAAACGGCGGCCGUAACUAUAACGGUCCUAAGGUAGCGAAAUUCCUUGUCGGGUAAGUUCCGACCCGCACGAAAGGCGUAACGAUUUGGGCACUGUCUCAACGAGAGACUCGGUGAAAUCAUAGUACCUGUGAAGAUGCAGGUUACCCGCGACAGGACGGAAAGACCCCGUGGAGCUUUACUGUAGCCUGAUAUUGAAAUUCGGCACAGCUUGUACAGGAUAGGUAGGAGCCUUUGAAACGUGAGCGCUAGCUUACGUGGAGGCGCUGGUGGGAUACUACCCUAGCUGUGUUGGCUUUCUAACCCGCACCACUUAUCGUGGUGGGAGACAGUGUCAGGCGGGCAGUUUGACUGGGGCGGUCGCCUCCUAAAAGGUAACGGAGGCGCUCAAAGGUUCCCUCAGAAUGGUUGGAAAUCAUUCAUAGAGUGUAAAGGCAUAAGGGAGCUUGACUGCGAGACCUACAAGUCGAGCAGGGUCGAAAGACGGACUUAGUGAUCCGGUGGUUCCGCAUGGAAGGGCCAUCGCUCAACGGAUAAAAGCUACCCCGGGGAUAACAGGCUUAUCUCCCCCAAGAGUUCACAUCGACGGGGAGGUUUGGCACCUCGAUGUCGGCUCAUCGCAUCCUGGGGCUGUAGUCGGUCCCAAGGGUUGGGCUGUUCGCCCAUUAAAGCGGUACGCGAGCUGGGUUCAGAACGUCGUGAGACAGUUCGGUCCCUAUCCGUCGUGGGCGUAGGAAAUUUGAGAGGAGCUGUCCUUAGUACGAGAGGACCGGGAUGGACAUACCUCUGGUGUACCAGUUGUCGUGCCAACGGCAUAGCUGGGUAGCUAUGUGUGGACGGGAUAAGUGCUGAAAGCAUCUAAGCAUGAAGCCCCCCUCAAGAUGAGAUUUCCCAACUUCGGUUAUAAGAUCCCUCAAAGAUGAUGAGGUUAA